rnacentral:rRNA from 1 species
UGGGGAAUAUUGCACAAUGGGCGAAAGCCUGAUGCAGCAACGCCGCGUGAGUGAUGAAGGCCUUCGGGUUGUAAAGCUCUGUCUUUUGGGACGAUAAUGACGGUACCAAAGGAGGAAGCCACGGCUAACUACGUGCCAGCAGCCGCGGUAAUACGUAGGUGGCAAGCGUUGUCCGGAUUUACUGGGCGUAAAGGAUGCGUAGGCGGAUUUUUAAGUGAGAUGUGAAAACCCUAAGCUUAACUUGGGGACUGCAUUUCAUACUGGAAAUCUAGAGUGCGGGAGAGGAGAAUGGAAUUCCUAGUGUAGCGGUGAAAUGCGUAGAGAUUAGGAAGAACACCAGUGGCGAAGGCGAUUCUCUGGACCGUAACUGACGCUGAGGCAUGAAAGCGUGGGUAGCAAACAGGAUUAGAUACCCUGGUAGUCCACGCCGUAAACGAUGAGUACUAGGUGUAGGAGGUAUCGACCCCUUCUGUGCCGCAGUUAACACAAUAAGUACUCCGCCUGGGAAGUACGAUCGCAAGAUUAAAACUCAAAGGAAUUGACGGGGUCAUAGCUGUUUUCCU